rnacentral:ncRNA from 2 species
UCGAUGAAACAGGGGUGCUUCGCGCGCAUCGGCAACGGAUCGAUUGGCAGCGCGGUGAGGCUGAGAGAGACCCUUUGCACCCGAUCCGGGUAAUACCGGCGAGGGAAGUUUCCGGAGAACGCCC